GACAUGUUAGCUUAAUUGGUUAAGCGAUGUGUUUCGGCCACAAGGAUUGUAAGUUCGAGUCUUACACAUGUCU
rnacentral:tRNA from 3 species